GAAAGCAGGUGAGCUUUUGCCAACUAAAUCAGGCGGAGAAUUCAAUCUCCUCGUUUCUAUCGGACCCAACCCCCCACCUUCUCCAUUCUUAAAAACACCCAUCUUUCUCUACAUUCACAGCAUUCCUCAUUCUCAUUCUCUCUUUUCCUUCUCCUUUGGAUCUCAACAAUGGAGGCCGCAUUGCCUGUCCACAAAUCUAUUCUCACUACUCCAAAAUCUCCUGGUUUGUUUAUGAGGAGAAAUGGCAGUAUUAGAGGAAUUAAAGGGAGUUCUCAAUGCAGUUUUAUGGUUGGAACCAAGCUUAACUUUCAAAGACAAAAGCUUUUUAUUCAGUCUGCUGCCAAAGUUACCCAUAAGGAAGGUGGUGGUGGUGGUGCUGCUCUUAGGGUCUCGUGUCGAGCUGAGAAAAUAUUGAUAGCAAAUAGAGGAGAAAUUGCGGUCCGUGUAAUUAGAACUGCUCAUGAAUUGGGAAUACCUUGUGUUGCUGUUUAUUCUACUAUUGAUAAGGAUGCUCUUCAUGUUAAAUUAGCUGAUGAGUCUGUCUGCAUUGGUGAAGCACCGAGCAGUCAGUCCUACUUGUUGAUUCCAAAUGUUUUAUCCGCUGCUAUCAGUCGCGGGUGUACAAUGUUGCACCCCGGAUAUGGCUUUCUUGCUGAAAAUGCAGUUUUUGUUGAAAUGUGCAAAGAACAUGGGAUCAACUUUAUUGGCCCAAACCCUGACAGUAUCCGAGUAAUGGGUGACAAAUCAACUGCCAGGGAAACUAUGAAGAAUGCAGGUGUUCCGACUGUACCUGGGAGUGAAGGUCUGCUACAGAGCACAGAAGAAGCAGUGAAGCUUGCCCAUGAGAUUGGCUUUCCUGUGAUGAUCAAGGCGACAGCAGGUGGUGGAGGCCGUGGAAUGCGUCUUGCUAAAGAGCCCGGCGAGUUUGUAAAGUUGCUACAGCAAGCUAAGAGUGAGGCUGCUGCAGCAUUUGGAAAUGAUGGAGUGUAUUUGGAGAAAUACAUUCAGAAUCCAAGGCACAUUGAAUUCCAGGUUCUUGCAGAUAAAUAUGGUAAUGUUGUUCACUUCGGUGAACGUGACUGCAGCAUCCAGAGGCGUAAUCAGAAGCUGCUCGAAGAGGCACCCUCUCCUGCAUUGACUCCUGAAUUGCGGAAAGCUAUGGGUGAUGCUGCAGUUGCAGCAGCAGCAUCAAUAGGAUAUAUUGGUGUUGGGACAGUUGAGUUCCUUUUGGAUGAAAGAGGUUCCUUCUACUUCAUGGAAAUGAACACUCGAAUCCAGGUUGAGCAUCCUGUUACAGAAAUGAUAUCCUCUGUUGACUUGAUUGAGGAGCAAAUUCGUGUAGCCAUGGGAGAAAAGCUCCGGUACAGACAGGAAGAUAUUGUGCUUAGAGGACAUUCAAUUGAAUGCCGUAUCAAUGCAGAAGAUGCUUUUAAGGGAUUCCGACCUGGGCCAGGGAGAAUAACAGCAUACUUACCAUCUGGAGGCCCAUUUGUUAGAAUGGAUAGCCAUGUCUACCCUGAUUAUGUGGUUCCUCCAAGUUAUGAUUCCCUACUGGGAAAGCUUAUCGUGUGGGCUCCAACAAGAGAAAAGGCAAUCGAACGCAUGAAAAGAGCACUGGAUGACACAAUUAUUACAGGAGUUCCUACGACGAUAGAAUACCAUAAACUUAUCCUCGACAUUGAGGACUUCAAAAAUGGGAAGGUUGACACUGCUUUCAUUCCAAAGCAUGAGCAGGAAUUACAGGCGCCACAGAAGAUUGUACCGGUCAAAGAACUGGCCAGCGCAACCGCAUAGACUGAUCACUGCGAAGGGCAAAAAAGAAAAACAAAAUGUUCAACCCAUUUCAGUCACAUUUGAAAGCCAGGCUCAAUUUGAUCCUUUUUUAAAAAUGCAACGGCUCCUGGUGCAAUAGCAAGCACCAAUUUGACUUGGGGAGUGGCGAUUUAGUGGCAGUGGGUGGCAAGGUUGCUUUGUGAGUAAACAAAUAUAAAAAAAAGCUUUCUCCGGGUCUAAUGAGAAAGCAUUCGUUCACGUCAGGCAAUGUAAUUGUUGACGUAGUUGCUUGUACUUUUCUUUUUUUUCGAGAUUGGGUUGGUGUGGAUUUUAUGGUACAUCUAAAAAUUAUUUUGGAGCC